GAUGCCCCUAAAAAGAAAAAGCAGUAAUCUGGCAAAAUGAACUCAGAACACACAAAGAGAAGCCACUGGAGACUAAUCUGCAAGGUAUUCAGAUUCUGCUACCAAACUGCUUCUGGGACUUCAUGCGGUUUGCUUCAUCUGAGAGAACCUCAGGUGUUGCUGUUGAGCAGAAAUUGGAAGGAAACUGUAAAGGUGAAUAGACUGAGAAAAUGGUCCUGCCCAUCAUCACAGGAAACCAUAAACCUCACCACUGUGGGACAGGAGUGACCAGCCAUGACCAUUUUUGCUACCUUAGGAACAUCCCCAUUCACUCUAUUUUUCAGAUAAGAAACAGAAAGAAUGACUUACUAGGGAACCGAGUUAAAAACAAAAGAAGUGAAGAUUGGUCAUCUCUGCAGAGGAAAUUACAAGGUCUUUCUCAGAAGAAACAGCUGCAUAAUGUGGAAUCAGUUGUGUGAAAUUCUGUUGGCAAGGCCUUUGACUUUCAACUUCUGCUGGAUCCAGCUGAGUGAUCAAAGAGAGAACUUUUGCAGGUAUUUGUCUUCACCUUACUAAUCUCACCUUAAUGAGAUGCAAAUUAUUCCAGAAUAAUAAUUUCAAGAAACACUUGUGUUCCUUCUGAGGAAAUGCUAUGAGGGUGAUCUGGAAUGCCAGGAGUUUGGUGUUGAGUGGGCCCAUUAAUCCUACUGCAUCCAAGUCCAGUGUUUUAGUUAAAUUUUAAGCAAGCUAGAGACUUUAUGGUAAAUGCAGGGUAUUUUAAGACACAUUUAAGACUACACUAGAUACACUACUCUGAAGAUACACUAGAUGUCUGUUUUGACAUAGUUUUCAUCUCUCAAAACCAGCAUCUCAAUUGUUUGGUUAAGUAUCCUGUAGAUGUCAAAGAACAUUGCUGAAUCUAGAAAGGAAGGUCUGGUCUUGAUCUAAGCAUCUCUGCCUUAUAAUGAGGUACUGUCUAAUAGCCUUCAUAGCAAACAGUUAAUACAGACACGUGCUAAAAGGGGCACUUGUCCCUGUUAAGAGGAGUGAAAAGUGCCCUCCUCAUUCCCAUAACUAAAGGCCAGAUUCCUCACUGAAUUUCAAGCAACCUGUCCUGGCAUCUGUGGCUCUUGUGAUCAUGACUUUGGGGGUUACAGAAUCACAGUUCCCUUCUUGUCAAAGCCAGAAGUAGGAGGUGGUCCCUGUGUCAGUCCAUGUACCCUAAAUGAUCUUAGCACUGAAGAGUCUCAAAGCUGGUUCAUGGACAUUACAAAUUUGUUCUCCUCAGCACACAGAGGAAGAACACAAUAUUUUAGAGGUGUGGAAGUGAAGCACAGCUGUGAAUAUUUUAAGAUGUAUAACAUUAACAGAUAGGGGUAGAUCUUUAAAAGCCUUCAGUACGGGUCAGUUUGUAGCAUUUUCAGUGAGACUGACAGCUGAGUUUCCCCUUGAAAAGUCUGUUUUUAGUAUCUAAAGAAGCCAGAAGAACUGAUCUUAUUUUUCUGAGAACUUAAUCCAAGUAUUUGCUCAAGAUUAUGAAAUAAAUAUGUGGUCCAGUUGGUAAAUUAAUCCA
rnacentral:lncRNA from 1 species